rnacentral:rRNA from 1 species
AUUGAACGCUGGCAGCAGGCCUAACACAUGCAAGUCGAACGGUAACAGGAAGCAGCUUGCUGCUUCGCUGACGAGUGGCGGACGGGUGAGUAAUGUCUGGGAAGCUGCCUGAUGGAGGGGGAUAACUACUGGAAACGGUAGCUAAUACCGCAUAAUGUCGCAAGACCAAAGAGGGGGACCUUCGGGCCUCUUGCCUUCGGAUGUGCCCAGAUGGGAUUAGCUUGUUGGUGGGGUAACGGCUCACCAAGGCGACGAUCCCUAGCUGGUCUGAGAGGAUGACCAGCCACACUGGAACUGAGACACGGUCCAGACUCCUACGGGAGGCAGCAGUGGGGAAUAUUGCACAAUGGGCGCAAGCCUGAUGCAGCCAUGCCGCGUGUAUGAAGAAGGCCUUCGGGUUGUAAAGUACUUUCAGCGGGGAGGAAGGGAGUAAAGUUAAUACCUUUGCUCAUUGACGUUACCCGCAGAAGAAGCACCGGCUAACUCCGUG